rnacentral:rRNA from 1 species
AUGAAGACGCCUCCAUCGCCCGAUCCAACGGAUCUGAGGAUUCCCUCCGGAGCCAAAGCAGUGGGAAGCAUGGGCACACCUCCACAACGAUGCUUCCCAGAAAAACCGCGGCACCCGUGGGCGCCACCAUCAUUGGCUCCCAUGAGGACCGGAGCAAGGAUUUCUCCUAGAGUUGUGCCAACCACCAACCACCACCGUCCACCAACCGCCACCCCUGCUUACAGCAACAUCACUCCGGCCGCAGGACCCUUGGUUCACCACGACCAGACACGCUCAACCUCCCUGGCUGUAGCCGCCGCCCACCACCGUAGCACCACCGCGACCACCACCACCGCAGGAACAAACACCGCAUCGCAGGAGACAUCAGCAAGAUCUGAGAUACUCUGA